ACGGCGAAAAGUUGGUUUUGUAAAUUGGGAAGGAGCGUAUGCCAGAAAUUCAAAACCAAUCGUUAGUUGUUAUACAAAAGUAACAUUAGGCAUUUGUGAAGUUAUUGUCAGUGUCCCGUGUCCCGAAAUGAGACGUCAGUUGUGCGGACACCUGUACGACAAACAGCAAAAUCAAUUAAGCGCGGUGCGAUAAAUAGGCUGUAAAAAUGUAUAGCCUAAAAUAAUAGGUCGUGCGUGUGCGCGCGCGCGCUUUACUGGCUCGUCAGGUGGCUGCACCUCAGAGGAACUUGCAAAGCCGCACCACUGGGUGGCAUGACGGCGCGUAAUAAGCGGCGCAACCACCUCUCCUCUCCCCCUCCUCCCGCUGCCUUUGUGCCUGGUUUCAUGGUGUCUCUCGAGAAUGCAUGGAGGAGCUGAAGUCUGGAAUCAAGGAGGAGCCUCUUUUGUGGGAUUUAAGGCUCCUGGGAGGCUUUGAAGACCACUGAAUUAUCCCAAUGCAUCAUGACAUGUUUGGAGCUCAUUAAAGCCAAUUUAUGUGUCUCAGUGCAAAUGGACAAUGUAUCAGUAAAGACUUCAUUUUUUCACAGA